rnacentral:misc_RNA from 1 species
UGUAGGAGCGGGCUUGCUCGCGAUGCAGACUAGUCGGUCUGUCGGUCAAGCCGCGCGGAUACGAUCGCGAGCAAGCCCGCUCCCACA